rnacentral:piRNA from 1 species
UCCCAAACUGCCAGUUUGCAACCUGUCGUG